ACCUUGAUGGUUUUGCCCUUGGCGCCGGCAAA
rnacentral:scRNA from 1 species